rnacentral:rRNA from 1 species
ACAGCAGUCGCCGCGGUAAUACGAAGGGUGCAAGCGUUACUCGGAAUUACUGGGCGUAAAGCGUGCGUAGGUGGUGGUUUAAGUCCGUUGUGAAAGCCCUGGGCUCAACCUGGGAAUUGCAGUGGAUACUGGGUCACUAGAGUGUGGUAGAGGAUAGUGGAAUUUCCGGUGUAGCAGUGAAAUGCGUAGAGAUCGGAAGGAACAUCUGUGGCGAAGGCGACUAUCUGGGCCAACACUGACACUGAGGCACGAAAGCGUGGGGAGCAAACAGGAUUAGAGACCCCCGUAGUCCCUGUCUCUUUUAC